AAAAGACAAUCUCUCCUCAAACUACCCAAUAAUUUGCCCAAAGCCGCAGAGCUGGUAAUAUGGUGGAGCAGGGACUUCAAUGUGGACAGUCAGAUUCUAGACUGUCCAACAGAAACAUAAUGCAAGCCACAUAUGCCAUUUUAAUGUUAUGGUAGCUACGUUUACAAAGCAAAAAGAAGCAGGGGAAAUUAAUGUUUUAUUUAACCCAAUGGAUACAAAAGAUAAUUUCAACACAUCAUCAAUAUAAAAUUACUGAGAUAUUUUGUAUUUUUUAUACUAAGUCUUUGAAGUCUGAUGUGUCUUUUAUACUUAUAGUACAUCUCAAUUCAAUCACUAUAUUUUCAUUGGGAAGACGAUUUGUAUUUCUAGUUCAUGAAAUUUACAUUGAAAACAUAGAUACACGUCCCUAAGCUGUUCCGAAUAAACUUAAAGUUUCCCAGUAACUGAAUCAAGUAGAAGUUUUUACAUUGACAUUUAAAUUGAAGUUAAAUAAAAUUGCAAAUUCAGUUCCUCGGUCACACUAGGCACAUUUAAAACACUCAGAAGCCACGUGUGCUAGUGGCUACCGUAUUGGAUAGCAUAGUUCUGGAAGCUGCACACUUAAGCUCCUUUUUUGUCGAUUCCCUGUACCCAAGUUCACAGUUACGUGUUGGCAGGUGUGCAUCUGUAUUUAGGUGGUGCACAAUCUCUACAACUGGAAGACUGGGGACCGGCUUCGUCGUUGUUGCCCUGUUUCCGAUUAGCUCAGUUUGAUUGUGGGUGACCUCAGGUGAGUCGUUCUACUCCUCUGGGCCUCUGCCUCCUCAUUUGUCAAUGAGGGAGUGUGAUCUCAGUCAUCUUUUCUAGCUCUCGAAUGAUGUAUGAUUUCUCUCUUCUAAAAGAAGGAGGAAGGAGGACAUUAUUAAAGCUGUGGGCACCAGGGCGCACACACACAUUCUUUUCAAUGAAAUAGGUGAAACUGGUGUUGCCAGUCUCUGGCAGCUGCUGCAGUGCAGUGGGCAAGCAGGACUCGCACAGCGCUGUCUUCUCUCAUCUAGUACUGAGGGACGGGGUAAUUGUAUCUUUCUCCAGAAUGCCGGGGAUAAAGAAACACUGAAGCAUUGCCUGGGCUCCAAAUUCCAGGAAAUAUUGUGAGUUUUUUCCUUUAUAUACCUCCCCUUUUAAGGAAGAAAAUCCUGUACGUGAUGGAAAGCCCUGCGUUGGUUUCUGCAGUGGUUCUGAGUCGCUGGUUUCCUGGAGCGGGCUGUGUUCUUUUAUGUGUGAAAGAAAGGGCCUUUGGCUCCUUUAGACUCCCCACUGUUUAUUAUGUGUGCUCCUGGCUUGUUAGUCAGGAUGGGGCUUUUCAUUUAUUGGAUAGCAUAAAACCUUUGUUAUAUUUUAGCUACAGAGCUACAAAAGGAUGGCGAGGGGAUUCAAGUCGAACUGGAGAGUAACUAUGGAGGCUUGAGGCCCUGCAAGCCACAUGAUAGCUUUCAGAGACGCACACCAUCAGUUCCUGCUAAUGGGUUCUGCGUCCAAUUCCAGUGAGUGGGGAACGGGGUGUUCCCUACACCAACAAGCAAUUCUCCGACGCCAGCUGGUUGUCCUACAGUUCAACUCAGUUCUGACACUAUCCGCUGGAGACAGCCUCAGAUUCCACAGGUUAAGGGUUCGGUCCCACAGGACUGCCCUCCGCUUCAGAUGCCAAUCGUAAGUCCAGGUUGUCGCCUGUGCUUCCUAUGGACCAGGCCAGCUACAGAUUGGAGGCUCCCAUGACUCCCUCCUUGGGUUCGAUUAAUUUGCUGGAGUGACUCACAGAACCCAGGAAACUUAUUUGCUCACUAAAUUACUAGUUAAUUACAAAGGACAUUAAAGGAAACGAAUCAACAGCCAGACACAUAGGGGGAGGUCCUGACCAAAGGAGCGUCUGUCCUCA
ensembl:lncRNA